GGAUAUGAAGACAAUCAGUCAGUGCCCCUUUCUUCUGUCACUGCCCCAUGUGUGUCCCUGCACUUGAUUGAAGAGGAUGACCUUUCAUGAACAGAUGAGGGCCAUUCUCCAGCCAAGGGCUGAGAGAAUAACUGUGCUCUCCUGCUGGAAUUCCAAACCAUCUCAAGAAAUAUUGAUGGUAACAGUACACCAUCAAAAUAUAUCCAUGGCAGCUAUAUAAUUUGUAUGUCUCAU
rnacentral:snRNA from 1 species